UACGUAGGUGGCAAGCGUUGUCCGGAUUUACUGGGCGUAAAGAGCGCGCAGGCGGUCGUUCAAGUCGCGUGUGAAAGCCCCCGGCUCAACUGGGGAGGGUCACGCGAUACUGAUCGACUCGAAGGCAGGAGAGGGUAGUGGAAUUCCCGGUGUAGGGGUGAAACGCGUAGAUAUCGGGAGGAACACCAGUGGCGAAGGCGACUACCUGGCCUGUUCUUGACGCUGAGGCGCGAAAGCUGGGGGAGCAAACGGG
rnacentral:rRNA from 1 species